GGUGGUAGCAGUAGUGGCUUUGUGUUAAUACCUUAGUUACUGGACUGUUCUUAUCUUAACCCGUGGGAGUUAUAUUCUUUCGAUUCUCCUCCCCAUCCCUCUGGGAGUAGGGGGGAAGAAGCAAGGGGGGAGUGAGCAAGGGGCUGCGUGGUUCUGAGUUACUGGCUGGGCUUAAACCAUGACAGUUCUUUGUGGUGCCCGACAUGGGGCAUCAAAGGGUUGAGAUAACAACAGAUCUGACUGGAUUGUGUCUAAUCGUAUUUGUGAUAAGCAUUUAUUGUUUCGGAUUAAUAGUCACUCGUCACAAUGCUGAUUUAUUGGCUCUCAAAGUUGCUGCUCUUGAUUUCAGAGUUUCAGCAUGUUGAACCUUACUUACAGCCAGUAUUUGCUGGUUUAGUGUUUAUCGGCUGGAAGGCUUGGGCUAAGGUUCUUGUUUCACUGUACUUUAUGCUAAUGACUUGUAAUACAAUAGACUCACUGAUCAUAAAACUGCUCUGGUUUGAAUUCCCAGUGUGGUCAUCACCUCUAUACUUUGGGAGAUAUAUAAUGGAAGUGUUUAGCAAUUACACAUCUUUAUUUUCCUCCUUGAAUGGUCAACCUAUGAAGGAGACAUUCCGUUAUGCUCCCAGCUCCCCCACCAGUCUAUUUACAGCAUCAUUUGAGAGUUCUGAAGGUUUUGAAUGGCCUUUGGGUACCCUUAAGACCUGCCUGCUCAUUGUGAUGGGGAUUAGCAUGCUGGUACACGUACAGAGUGUGUUUCACCCAUGACCAUUUCAUCUGAUCUCAAAAGUUAAGCAGAGUCAGGUUUGGGUCUUAUCUAGGGUUAGAUGAUGAUAUAGGAGGACCAAGAGAUUUUCCCCAAGGCUGGACAGUUUUGAGUGGCAGGGUGUGUGGGACAGUAUGGGAAAGUAUCUAGGCCAGUGGGCCCCUCCAGUGCUUUGGAAGCAUCGGAGAUGGAAGGCAACUGUAUGGAGUACCCAACGACAACUGCUAAGAUUGAAGUGGCUCAGACAGACUAAGAUUGGCAACAUAAGGGUGAAUUAUUUUUGGCCUGGUGGGCCCAUAACACCUCAGGCCAUCACGGCAGAGAUGCAACAUACAGAUGGGCUUGUGAUCAAGGGGUGGACUUAACGAUGGACACUAUUGCCCAGGUUAUUCACAAGUGUGAAACAUGUGCUGCAAUUAAGCAAGCCAAGCGGUUAAAGCCUCUUUGGUAUGGA